GUGGGGAAUCUUCCGCAAUGGACGAAAGUCUGACGGAGCAACGCCGCGUGAGUGAUGACGGCCUUCGGGUUGUAAAGCUCUGUGAUCGGGGACGAAUGGCUGGUAUGCUAAUACCAUAUCAGAGUGACGGUACCCGAAUAGCAAGCCACGGCUAACUACGUGCCAGCAGCCGCGGUAAUACGUAGGUGGCAAGCGUUGUCCGGAAUUAUUGGGCGUAAAGCGCGCGCAGGCGGCUUCUUAAGUCCAUCUUAAAAGUGCGGGGCUUAACCCCGUGAUGGGAUGGAAACUGGGAGGCUGGAGUAUCGGAGAGGAAAGUGGAAUUCCUAGUGUAGCGGUGAAAUGCGUAGAGAUUAGGAAGAACACCGGUGGCGAAGGCGACUUUCUGGACGACAACUGACGCUGAGGCGCGAAAGCGUGGGGAGCAAACAGGAUUAGAAACCCGGGUAGUCC
rnacentral:rRNA from 1 species